rnacentral:rRNA from 1 species
GGUGGUGCAUGGUUGUCGUCAGCUCGUGUCGUGAGAUGUUGGAUUAAGUCCCGCAACGAGCGCAACCCUUAAGCUUAGUUGCCAGCAUUCAGUUGGGCACUCUAAGGUGACUGCCGGUGACAAACCGGAGGAAGGUGGGGAUGACGUCAAAUCAUCAUGCCCCUUAUGACCUGGGCUACACACGUGCUACAAUGGACGGUACAAACGGUUGCCAACCCGCGAGGGGGAGCUAAUCCGAUAAAACCGUUCUCAGUUCGGAUUGUAGGCUGCAACUCGCCUACAUGAAGCCGGAAUCGCUAGUAAUCGUGGAUCAGCAUGCCACGGUGAAUACGUUCCCGGGUCUUGUACACACC